rnacentral:tRNA from 1 species
CGGGAUGUAGCGCAGCCUGGUAGCGCACAUGUCUGGGGGACAUGUGGUCGUGGGUUCGAAUCCCGCCAUCCCGA